rnacentral:lncRNA from 1 species
AUGCCCCCUAUUUUCCUUCCCGAAUCGGGUCUGUGUUUCAUGCUGGAGCCUUCCACCUACAGUGAAAAGAGCCUCAAUCUUAGGCCAGAUCCUACGGUCUCUCCUUCCCUACAUGCAACAUGUUGCCAUGAGACACUGUCAUGCUGCUUGCCUACAGUCUCCCUACUCUGGCUACAGAAUGGACCACACUUCAGACAAAUGGACUACAGCAGGCUCAGCCACAGUUUGGCAAAGCACCAACAACCCAGGAGAGCUGGGCAAAUGGCCAAACAAUUUCAGACUAUAAUGCUUAAUCUUCUCAUAGCAAUUUAG